AUCAGAUUCGGUUCUUCAAUCCUCACCACGAUUUCAACUCCCACGAUCCCCACCACGAUUCCAUCAUGAUUCCCACGAUCUCACAUUACAAUUUCAACUCCUCACCCACAAACUCUUCUGCGCUCCAUUGUCAGUAACAUGCUUUUACAGUUUUGUCCAAUCAGUUUUCUAUUUUUACAAUAUAUAAGUCUAUUCUUUCUUCCUCGUGUGCAUAUCAAACAAUAAUUCGGGACUACAAAAGGCAAUUACUCUAUUUAAAUUGUACAGUUACGAAAGAUGGACUAUCAAACAUCAUUUCACUUUUCAUUACUUGGUUAAAGGUAAGUAUAUGUCUAAUUUCAGAAAGGGAGAGUUUGUGCACAUACUUUGUCAUCUAAGCAUUGGGUUCUCUAGAGACUGUACUAAACAUGGAACUAGCAGAACGCAAUCUCAGCUUGGAUAGAGGAGCGGCUGUUCAGUUUCUGCUAGCAUACCUGUAAGUUGAACAUGCUGUAUGAUUGUAGUUCUGAAGUUCUUCAAAUGAUCGUGGAUGAUGUUAAAGACUGACGAAGAAGAAGAUAGCAAGUAACUCGAAUUGAACUCUAUCUGCAACCGAUGAUGUAGAGAGAAAUAGGUGUUGGGAAUAAACCCCGUAAAAAUAGUAUUCACGGUAUUAGUGAUAAACGCAGAACACUAAGUUAUG